rnacentral:misc_RNA from 1 species
UCAACCAUCAAGCCUGGCUUGUUGUUGGACUUUGCGGCUGAAAACAUGUGGCAAGUCCGAAAAAUAAUGACGGUGUCGUGUUUGACCCUAGAUGCAACGAGCUUUUUAUAGCAAGCAUUGAAGUGGUCGACCGGACUUGGUCUUAACCAUCAAUUUCUAAGG